GGUCCUGUGGUCUAGUGGUAUGAUUCUCGCUUUGGGUUCUCCAAACCUAAAUUAGCCUGCGAGAGGCCCCGCGUUCGAAUCGCGGCAGGACCC
rnacentral:tRNA from 1 species